rnacentral:rRNA from 1 species
GAUGAACGCUGGCGGCGUGCUUAACACAUGCAAGUCGAACGAAGCGAGAGGAGCUUGCUCCUUAAGCUUAGUGGCGGACGGGUGAGUAACGUGUGGGCAACCUGCCUUUUACAGGGGAAUAAUCACUGGAAACGGUGACUAAUACCGCAUACGAUCUUCGGAAGGCAUCUUCUGGAGAGGAAAGGAGCAAUCCGGUAAAAGAUGGGCCCGCAUCUGAUUAGCUAGUUGGUGAGAUAAUAGCCCACCAAGGCAACGAUCAGUAGCCGACCUGAGAGGGUGAUCGGCCACAUUGGGACUGAGACACGGCCCAAACUCCUACGGGAGGCAGCAGUGGGGAAUAUUGCACAAUGGGGGAAACCCUGAUGCAGCAACGCCGCGUGAAGGAAGAAGGUUUUCGGAUCGUAAACUUCUAUCAAUAGGGACGAAAAAAUGACGGUACCUAAAUAAGAAGCCCCGGCUAACUACGUGC